rnacentral:pre_miRNA from 1 species
GGGGUAGGUUUGAGCCAAGAAUGACUUGCCGGAAUCUGCUUCCAGAUGUGUACUCGUACAAAGACGUCUAUGAGUGUGCAAUGUUAGCUUGAAAAGUGUGUCCCGGCAAGUUAUCUUGGCUCUAAUCUGCUUUCU